UAUUAGGUUUGUGCUAGAUUAUUAGGGUUAGUAAUAUGUAGAAUUAGGAAAAAGGAAAAUAAGAAGAGGAGGAGAAGAAAAGAAGAAAAAGAAGAAUAAGAAGACGAGGAGAGGAGAAGAAGAGGAAAAAUAGAAGAAGAGGAGAAGUAGAAGAAGAGAAAAAAUUAGAAGAGGAGGAGAAAGGAAGAAAAAGGAGAAGAAAAGAAGAAAAAGG
rnacentral:lncRNA from 1 species